ACAACUACAAUGACAUUCAUCAUCUUCUUAAUCUUAGGGAUGUAUCUUCAAGAUUCUGCGGGACAGGUGACUGUAAUUCAGACUCCAACAGAGAAACAUGUUCAGAACGGACAAACAGUCACUCUGACCUGUAAAACCAGCAGCUCCAUUGGACGCCAGUCAGACGGUGACUGUAAGUCUUGUGUUUCCUGGUACCUACAGAAAUCUGGAGAAACUCCUAAACUUUUAGUUCACAGCAUCAAAACCCUUCAUACUGGAACUCCAUCAAGAUUCAGUGGCAGUGGAGCUGAUCAUGGAACUGAUUUCACUCUGACCAUCAGUGGAGUCCAGACUGAAGACACAGGAGAUUAUUACUGUCAGAGUGAACACUAUAUCAGUAAUAGCUGGGUGUUCACACAGUGA